rnacentral:rRNA from 1 species
UACAGAGGUCUCAAGCGUUGUUCGGAUUCAUUGGUCGUAAAGGGUGCGUAGGUGGCGCGCUAAGUCGGGUGUGAAAUUUCGGAGCUUAACUCCGAAACUGCAUUUGAUACUGGCGUGCUUGAGGACUGGAGAGGAGACUGGAAUUCAUGGUGUAGCAGUGAAAUGCGUAGAGAUCAUGAGGAAGACCAGUGGCGAAGGCGACACGCUGGGCCGUACCUGACACUGAUGCGCGACAGCAUGGGGAGCAAACAGG